UACAGUAUUUAACUGUAACUACGUAUGAUCCAUCGCCUGUAAGGAUCACCGAUUAGAUGGCGAAACAAAACUCCCGUAGCCUGCAAGGGAGUGCAUCACAAUGCGGUACAUCUGCGCACUUUUGGAAGCAGAUAUCGUCGGGUAAAUAACCC
rnacentral:sRNA from 1 species